CUACCACCGCCGGUCUGUUUGUGCACCGCGGUUGGUUCAUCAUCUCCGCGUGCUCUGGCCGUCCCCUCGCGCCGCUGUGCUGGCCCUGGUAUCACUUCCAUGUGCUCGGCAGCGGAGAGGUAGGAUUAGAGUGUUGGUUGUGCAUCCAUGGUUCUUGCCUCCUCCAGAUGUACACUGCUCUUGGUCGUUCUGACAAGGUUCUGCUCUCUGCGCGCCCCUGUGAGGUACUUAAGGCCACAACACCUGCAGCCACGAGUGCUAAGCAUGGUCACUUCGACCAUCCAUGGGGCUGACAAGGGGUAGCCGCGGGAAAGAGCGGACAACCCAGUCCUCGACGUCAAGGGUGAGGUGGUCCAAUAGCUCAGUCCGGAGGAAUGGUCAUGCUUCACAAAGAGAUGCACAUCAUCCUGACAAGGACAAAGAUUGAUUUUUCUACAGCUAUGGAACAUGUCCUAAUGUAAAAUCAUAUAUGUUCAGCCACGUAGGCAACGACAAACUUAUGUUCAGUGUAAAAUACAAACCUGAGUUGGCAGUUGCACAGUGUACUUCGUAAAUUCAGAUAUGUGCCCCUAUUGUAGUUUGCUAUGAUAAAAUGUUCUGAACUAUGGUCUAUUGUUCCUCACCCCAGUGGCGCAAUGUGAACCGAGGUGUUUUCAUUCGUGUAUUUCACUUUAUUUUCAUACGAUAUUGGGAAGGCUCACGUAAUUUAUUUGACUUCAUAGAACACCUCAUACCUGCACCUGGGAGAGUAGCAAUGCAAUCUGUCUUGGAAAAUUAUUCCUCUUGAGGGUCUAAGAGAAAUGUUGUUGUGUGUGUCUGACGGAUCUCGGAGAAUAAGGAUCAAGCACAAUAUGUGGAUGAAUAGGA